GUGCUCGCUUCGGCAGCACAUAUACUAAAAUUGGAACGAUACAGAGAAGAUUAGCAUGGCCCCUGCACUUGGGACCUUCAAAGUGUUGUUAUUUGU